GAAUGGGCGCAAGCCUGACGGAGCAACGCCGCGUGGAGGAUGACGGCUCUCGGGUUGUAAACUCCUUUUGUGGGGGAUGAACAAGGACAGUACCCCACCAACAAGCCCCGGCUAACUACGUGCCAGCAGCCGCGGUAAUACGUAGGGGGCCAGCGUUGUCCGGACUUACUGGGCGUAAAGCGCGCGUAGGCGGUCGUGUAUGUGCCGUGUGAAAGCGCCGGGCUACUCCCGGCGAGGUCAUGGUAGACAGCACGACUUGAGCCUCGGAGAGGUCGGUGGAAUUCCGGGUGGAGCGGUGAAAUGCGUAGAGAUCCGGAGGAACACCAGGGGCGAAGGCGGCCGACUGGCCGAGUGCUGACGCUGAGGCGCGACGGCGUGGGGAGCAAACCGGAUUAGAUACCCGGGUAGUCCACGCAGUAAACGAUGCACACCCGGUGUCGGGCCGCAAAUUCUUUGCGGCGCGGUGCCCAAGGUUACCUGAUGAGCGUGCCGCCUGGGGACUACGAGCGCAAGCUUA
rnacentral:rRNA from 1 species